UUGCACUGUUACUGAACCCUUCUGGUCUCAUCAGUGACGUCAAGGGUCAAGAUACAGUGCUAAAGCAUAAACAGGCCUGCUCAUAACUGGGGCCUCCUGGAUGCAUCCCAGGUCGCUCUUUUAAAAGCAAGCCACAGUU